rnacentral:rRNA from 1 species
GAUGAACGCUGACAGAAUGCUUAACACAUGCAAGUCGACUCGAGUCUUCGGACUUGGGUGGCGCACGGGUGAGUAACGCGUAAAGAACUUGCCUCUUAGACCGGGACAACAUCUGGAAACGGAUGCUAAUACCGGAUAUUAUGGUUUUUUCGCAUGGAGGAAUCAUGAAAGCUGGAUGCGCUAAGAGAGAGCUUUGCGUCCCAUUAGCUAGUUGGUGAGGUAACGGCCCACCAAGGCAAUGAUGGGUAGCCGGCCUGAGAGGGUGAACGGCCACAAGGGGACUGAGACACGGCCCUUACUCCUACGGGAGGCAGCAGUGGGGAAUAUUGGACAAUGGACCGCAAGUCUGAUCCAGCAAUUCUGUGUGCACGAUGACGUUUUUCGGAAUGUAAAGUGCUUUCAGUCGGGAAGAAGUCAGUGACGGUACCGACAGAAGAAGCGACGGCUAAAUACGUGCCAGCAGCCGCGGUAAUACGUAGGUCCCGAGCGUUGUCCGGAUUUAUUGGGCGUAAAGCGAGCGCAGGCGGUUAGAUAAGUCUGAAGUUAAAGGCUGUGGCUUAACCAUAGUACGCUUUGGAAACUGUUUAACUUGAGUGCAAGAGGGGAGAGUGGAAUUCCAUGUGUAGCGGUGAAAUGCGUAGAUAUAUGGAGGAACACCGGUGGCGAAAGCGGCUCUCUGGCUUGUAACUGACGCUGAGGCUCGAAAGCGUGGGGAGCAAACAGG